UCGUUCGCGCGCGUACGUAUGGCUGUGGUCCGCUUUUAGUUUUUGGCGAAUGCUUUGAAGCUUCAAGUUGCGGACUCUGCGGUGGGCCAGGGCUUGAUGACAUUUGUUGCCCAGCUGCUGGUGCUACCGCGACGUACUUGGAGCAACGCUUCUGCUUAUUUCCUCUGCCUGCACCUUAUAUUUGUUGUGUUUAUCGAGACCUGGCCUGUCUCUGCCUCGUUGAAGACAAAUGGAAACAAGUACUGGUUGCUGUUGGUUUGUUUGGUUUGCUCAGUCUGAGCGUGCUGCAGAGCACUUGACCACUGCAGCAGUCAAGCAUGCUGUAUAUUGGGCAGUGCCAGGAAUUGCGAGAUCGAGACAGGCUGCCACUAGAAGUUCCUUGGGCCAGGUGAUAACUCAAAUACAUCCAGAUAUUUCUAUAUUUCACUAUAUAAACCUUUGUAGAAUGAGGAACUUUUCAAGGGUGAAGUUGUUUCACACAAAGGAAAACUGUUACUAAAUAGUGACCAGUUCCUUUUGUUUUGUAAGCCAGAUUGCAUGUAUUUGACAUUGCUUACUGACUCUUAAUUAUUCUCGCUGUCAAAUACAAGCAUAUGUACUCACAUAUGUUUUCAAACAAAACUAUUGUGUGGAGCCAUGUUUGUGGUGGAAUAAAAUUGGUCCCAAUACAGAGCUUUGUGGCACACCAGAUCUUACUAGCGAUCGCGGAGAAGAAAGUUAAUUAGUAGUUACAAAUUGGUACCGGUUAGUUAAAGGGACUUUAAAGCGAAACAAUAAAUCAAUUUAGACUAAUGCAGCAUUGUUUGAGAACCCUGCAGGCAGUCAUUUCAAAAAGAUAGUUUGAUUAAUAGAUGAGAAAAUGAAGUUCCAAGUAUCAGUAUUUGAAUUUCGUGCCGAAACCCGAGCGCCGGUAUGUCAGCGUGACGUCAGGGAUUCCAAAGUAUGUUUUCGCAUUUGGGCCGCGUUGGCUGAAUAAAGGUUCCCGAAACUUGGCAUGUUUAAUAUUUGGUUCCUUUAGAACACAAUGUAGUCAAUCUGUACCGCGAUAUAUAAUUAGUAGGCCCUAGAAGAUGUCAUCAAAAUCCAAGACGUCACAGCCCCUAGGUGCGGGAACUUAAGUAGGCGUCGCCACCCGUAUUUCGUUUUUGCGCUUUUUCUGGCUUACCAAACGUCUUAUCGAUGUAAGAGUGGUGUUUUUGGUGUUGUAGAACGGUAAUUUACUGAUGCAGAAGAAAUCAUUUUUCACUUUAGUGUCUCUUUAAGAAUUUACUAAUCCAAUUUGUAGUCCUGUCAAUUCGAAGUUUACUGUCGUUUGGGUAUCGGACCAAGCCGAUGUCCCCUGGCCUGGGCGGUCCCUGGCGCUUCACCUAGUGGUGGCCUUUGAAAAUAGCAGCGUGGCACCAGUGGUUGCAUCAGGAUCUAGGCUCAUGAAGAUAGACAGCAACGUGCACAGGGCAAGGAGUUCGGUGGCCUGGUACUCGUCACAGUUGUGGAUAACACCAUAGUUUUUGCGAGUCCUAGCCCCUACCUAGGGUACCAGUCUGUGCACUGCGUGUGUGUAUAUAUGUGUGUGUGUGUGUGUGUGUGUGUGUUGUGCAGGAUUGCUCGUUGGCAGCACGUGCUCAUGCAGCCGCUGACGGGCCUUUGAUGUGUUUCGCCCUGGUAGUGCGGUCGUCUUUGUGGUUCUAGAGCUGCGUUGGCAUUGCCCAAGAACAGGAUAUAUCGGCAUGGCGCAGAAUUGCAGAGUGGGGGCGCUCCAUUCUAUUCCCACUUCAUUCCUUCAGAGUUGUGGUUUAUGUGAUUCCAGUCCUUUUGUCGGAGUUCUGACAGUUGAACCAUUCCCACUCCUUGAGUGGUCGAACUAAUCUACUCCAAUCCUCCAAUUACAGUACAUAAAACGCUUUCUGUAUAAUUACUUACUACUUGCGCCCCGAUGCGAUAGCAUAGAGGUAGAGCAUCUGCCUCAUGUGCAAAAGCACUGUGGUUCAAAUCCCGGUGCCACGCAAUUUUCCACUGGAUAAAAAAAAAUCCACAUGUUGAUACAGCUGUAUAAACAGGCCUGGUGGCCUGACCCCGGUGACCAGAACCGGUAAUGCACUCCCUCACCAGAGCAGGAUUGGCCACCUUGGUGCAGUACUUGGCCACAACCUUCUAUAUGAAUAGAACAAUCAAAUCCCGGCCCUCAGUCCCCAGCAGCUACAAAGCAACUGACCAUUGCGGUGGUCAGACCUGUGAUGCAGCAGAGCGUGCUAAGAAUCUCUGGAUCUGGACAGGCUGGUAUUGGAAUCUGAACCUGGCAGUGUUUAACGCUAGAAUGUUUUCUAGUGAGGAGAGUCUAACAGUGCUAUUGGAGGAAUUAGCGGGCAUUAAAUGGGAUAUAAUAGAGCUCAGUGAGGUUGGGAGGACAAAUGAAGCAUAUACAGUGCUAAAAAAGCGGGCACAUGCUGUGCCACCAAGGCUUAGCAGAGAGAUGAGAACUAGGAGUCGGAUUCCUGUUUAAUAAGGAUAUAGCUGGUAACAUACAGGAAUUGUGUAGCAUUAACGAUAGGGUGGCAGGUCUUGCUGUGAAACUUAAUAAGAGGUACAAAUUGAGGUCAUACAGGUCUACACCCGUACAUCUAGUCAUGAUAACCAGGAAGUCGAAAGCUUUUAUGAAGACGUGGAAUUGGCGAUAGGUAAAGUCAAAACAAAAUACACUAUACUGAUGGGCGACUUCAAUGCCAGGGUAGGCAAGAAGCAGGCUGGAGAAAAGUCAGUGGGGGAAUAUGGCAAAGGUUCUAGGAAUAGUAGGGGAGAGUUAUUAGUAGAGUUUGCAGAACGGAAUAAUUUGCGGACAAUGAAUACCUUCUUCCGCAAGCGGGAUAACCGAAAGUGGACGUGGAGGAGCCCUAAUGGCGAGACUAAAAAUGAAAUAGACCUCAUACCCUGUGCUAACCCUGGCAUCAUACAAGAUGUGUACGUGCUCGGCAAGGUGCGCUGCAGUGACCAUAGGAUGGUAAGAUCUCGAAUUAGCCUAGACUUGAGGAGGGAAUGGAAAAAACUGGUACAUAAGAAGCCGAUCAAUUAGUUAGCGGUAAGAGGGAAAAUAGAGGAAUUUCGGAUCAAGCUACAGAAGAGGUAUAGGGCUUUAACUCGGGAAGAGAACCUUAGGGUUGAAGCAAUGAACGAAAAUCUUAUGGGCAUCAUUAAGGAGUGUGCAAUAGAAGUAGGUUGUAACUUCGUUAGACAGGAUACCAGUAAGCUAUCGCAGGAGACGAAAGAUGUCAUUUUAAUACCACACCUUAUACAUAGCUUUCAUUGAUUACAAGAAAGUGUUUGAUUCAGUCAAAACCUCAGCAGUCAUGCAGGCAUUAUGGAAUUGGGGUGUAGACGAGCCAUAUGUAAAAAUACUGAAAGAUAUCUACAGCGGCUCCACAGCCACCGUAGUCCUUCAUAAAGAAAGCAACAAAAUCCCAAUAAAGAAGGGUGUCAGGCAGGAAGAUACGAACUCUCCAAUGCUAUUCACAGCAUGUUUACAGGAGGUAUUCAGAGACCUGGAUUGGGAAGAAUUGGGGAUAAGAGUUAAUGGAGAAUACCUUAGUUACUUGCGAUUCGCUGAUGAUAUUGCCUUGCUUAGUAACUCAGGGGACCAAUUGCAAUGCAUGCUCACUGACCCAGAGAGGCAAAGCAGAAUGGUAGGUCUGAAAAUUAAUCUGCAGAAAACUAAAGUAAUUUUUAACAGUCUCGGAAGAGAACAGCAGUUUACGAUAGGUAGCGAGGCACUGGAAGUGGUAAGGGAAUACAUCUACUUAGGGCAGGCAGUGACCGCGAGUCCAGAUCAUGAGACUAAAAUAAUCAGAAGAAUAAGAAUAGGCUGGGGUGCGUUUGGCAGGCAUUCUCAGAUCAUGAACAGCAGGUUGCCAUUAUCCCUGAAGAGAAAAGUGUAUAACUGGUGUGUCUUACCAGUACUCACCUACGGCGCAGAAACCUGGAGGCUUAUAAAAAGGGUUCUACUUAAACUGAGGACGACACAUCGAGCUAUGGAAAGAAGAAUGAUGGGUGUAACGUUAAGGGGAUAAGAUGAGAGCAGAUUGGGUGAGGGAACAAACGCGAGGUAUUGAUAUCUUACUUGAAAUCAAGAAAAAUCGGCAUGGGCAGGGCAUGUAAUGAGGAGGGAAGAUAACCGAUGGUCAUUAAGGGUUAUGGACUGGAUUCCAAGAGAGGGGAAGCGUAGCAGGGGGCGGCAGAAAGUUAGGUGGAUGGAUGAGAUUAAGAAGUUUGCAGGGUCAGCAUGGCCACAAUUAGUGCAUGACCGGGGUAGUUGCUGUUUAUUCAAGCAUUUUGCAAAUGUGGCUCACUUUUACGCACCCCUUCUUAUGUCUAAAAAAAAACAGAAAUGAACAUCCAGUAUUCUUUUUUAACUUUCACUAAGCUUAUCGUAUAGCUCAGUGUUAACAUAUAGGUCAACAUACAGUAUUUACAGGUGAGGUUACAGAAAGCAGUAAUAAUUGACAGUAAACACUGCUUGGAUGAUGAAAAACAUGGGAAUCAGGUCAUCUUAUUUCCGACAAUUUUUUUUGGCAUAGGAGGCUUAACAAAUGGUGAUGUAGCAACACUGUAAAGACUGAAUAAGAUGGAUGUGGAAUGCCUUGAUGACUUCUCUUUCUGUUUUUUAUUUUGCCUUCGAAAGGAAUUUAUUCUGUUCCAGAUAAGGGAGGCAGCUUUUGCAUCGGCAACAGAACAUCAGUGGAUGUUGUGUGAAGCACUUUUUCCAUGCUUUUUUCACUACCUGAGCAAGGUAACUUUCUUGGUGCUUCAUCACGCAAUUUAUACAAUCAACUUCCAUUAAUUCUACCCUCACGAGACUGACGGGUCGAAUUAAGAUGCAAAAACCUGCUGAAGCACCGUUGAUUCAUUCGGCAAUAUGUGCUUGAGUAACACGCCUCUGAAACGAACGUGCAUCAAAUUUCUAUUUGUCCACAGUAUAAAACUAAAGUAGAAAUGACUUAACUCCAAACCAAAGUAGAAACCUACAUGUACCUCAUUUUUUAGAAUGGCAGCUGAUUUUCUAAAGCGAGCUUCGCCGUAUUACAGCCAUGAUAUGUGGUAAAGCAUACGAAUGCUACAACCACGGUUUUAGUUUCGCAAUCGAUUGCACAGCUAGACAAUUUUCGUCUCAAUGUCCUUCUAAAACAAAAAGUGUUCAUUAGAAUCAGAUAAGUACCACAAACGGACAUUGUCAGCUACCGUUACUCCUUGAAAAUCUUUUUCGGGUGGGUCAAAAAUAGGCAUUUCAGAGAGGAGAUGGCAUUUGUUUAACGCAUUCACUGUCCCCUAAGCUCUACUGAGACAUGCGCUGCCACUAAAAGGGGUCAUUAUUGGGGUCUGGUCAAGUUCGCAUUAUCCGGCGCAUGCCAGUUUUAGGAUCGAAAUGAUGAAUGUUUAAUCCCAUAGAAAUGCAUGGGCGUCGGCCAGGUUCGAAUUAACUGAAAAAAUUAAAUUAACGUAGUCAGAUUAUUGGAAGUUUACUAUACACCCUUUUCUGUUCUCCAAGAAGUUGCCAUUUUAAUAUGUAGUUUUCUUCUAUCAGUGUGGCAAUGGUGCUAAAUUUAGCAUUUGUUUGAAUCAUCCAUUGUUCCAAGGACAAGCUACAAAGUAGGGGCACACUUUGAGACUUGAAACAUUUCCACAUAUAAAGGAAGGGCAUGUUAACAUCUGUACAAUUAACAUAAGUUGGCUGUAUUGUCUGCAUAUAUAUGCAUGUGGUUGCUUUUUUGGAAUGUGGUCUUUCUGUAAAACAAAGUUGCAUUUGUUUCAAAUAAAUUGCUGAACCAUUGCUUGUGUGUUUUCCUGUGCUCUCUGUGCUGAUUGCGCUUUUGAAAGUGCAGUGAGCAACUGCAGACUGAAAUGCACAAGGCUUCACUUUAUCAUGCCAGGAAGCAUUUUGGCUUGACAAAGGAGCCUUAACCCCUUCCAUGCACACACUUUUUUUUUUGUAUAAACACAUCAAAUGAAAGACAGUGACCUCUUCUCAUGUAUUUUAAAGCCUGGCAGUGUUAAAGACAGAGUGAAGUUGUACAAAUACAAUUUACUGUUAAGUAUUGCUGCUAAAACCUCAUGCUUGUGUAUAGUAUAUGCAUGCAGUGCUGGCUAUGCCGUGGUAGAGCCGUGAAACAGCUUUCACCACACUGCUUGCUAUAGCAUUGCUGUGUUCUGCAACCUGAGGUCAAAACUAUAAAUCUCUAGAAGUUCAGCAGCACAAUUGACAGCUAUUUCCGUAUGUUCGAUGCACUCCUGGCCAGGGACUUUUCGUCCUGUAGGCAAAAUAGAUGGCUGCCUCGGACGCUGUUUUGGAAAGAGCGCAGCAUACCUCGAAAGCUUGCUCACAAUGCUUCACCAGCAGGUUUUGCCAGCGAGAGUGGAGGGGGGCACAAUAAUUUGACUUUACAUGGUGCGGCACAAUACCUUAAAAUGCUGCUGCUUCUGGCUUCCAUUUAACUAUGACCUGCUGGUGCACCUCAACAUGGAGCAACCCCAUUUCACUAAAAUUCUUAAUUCUUCUACCAACAUGGUGUGGUGUGGCUAUCUA